ensembl:lncRNA
CACCGAUUCAACCGUCUCCUGCUCCGGUCAGUUACUACAAAAUGGCUGCAGAGGCUCCGCCGCCGAUGAGAACCUACUGAACGCUUCAUGCUGUGAAAAGAAGCAAAAAAAAACACGAGAAGAGAACCAUUUGAUGGAAGAUAAGAAAAAGAAAAAGCAAGACGAGAAGAAAAAGAAAGAAGCUGCUCAAAAAAAGGCCACAGAACAGAUAACCAAAGCUGAAGACAUUAGCGGCAGCCAGGUGGUCUACCUGAGCCAGGAUGGAAGCCAGGUGCCGUGCUGGACUAAUAAGGAGCAUGGGGAUGGUGCAGCUGCUCCUCGGGCCUCCCCAUGGGCUCCUCAGGCGUACCUAGGAGGGUAGAGGUGAGGAGGACUCUCAGAAGAAAAGAGAGCGGAGCGAAAUGACCGACAAACAACCCCGACGUCUGAAUAAAGGUGGA